AUUGGACAACUCAGGUUCGUAUGAAGUUCGUUAGAAAAUGGAGCUGUUGGUGUAUUGCAUAGUUGUAGGGAUUGGAUUUCACUCAAAAGCCACCAAAUGACUCCUCCCACCGUAUUAUGAUGUUCCCCAAGUUUUGGACUGAAUCCGAUAUCGAUUGGUCCAUGAAAUUGGACAAUUCAAGUUUGUACGAAGUUCGUUCUAAAAUGGAGUGGUUGGUGUACUGCAUAGUUUUAGCCAUUGGGUUUCACUCAAAAGGCACCAAAUGACUCCUCCCAUCAUAUUAUGAUGUUCCC
rnacentral:lncRNA from 1 species